UACGAAGGGUGCAAGCGUUACUCGGAAUUACUGGGCGUAAAGCGUGCGUAGGUGGUUUGUUAAGUCUGAUGUGAAAGCCCUGGGCUCAACCUGGGAAUGGCAUUGGAUACUGGCGAGCUAGAGUGCGGUAGAGGGUAGUGGAAUUCCCGGUGUAGCAGUGAAAUGCGUAGAGAUCGGGAGGAACAUCUGUGGCGAAGGCGACUACCUGGACCAGCACUGACACUGAGGCGCGAAAGCUAGGGGAGCAAACGGG
rnacentral:rRNA from 1 species